AGAGUUUGAUCCUGGCUCAGGACGAACGCUGGCGGUGUGCUUCACACAUGCAAGUCGAGCGAAUGAAGUAGGUAGCUUGCUACUUAUGGAUUUAGCGGCGGACGGGUGAGUAAUAUAUAGGAAUCUGCCUUAGAGCGGGGAACAACAGACCGAAAGGUUUGCUAAUGCCCCAUAGGUAUGCAGUCUUCGGAUUGUAUAUUAAAGGAGUAAUCCACUCUAAGAUGAGCCUGUAUUCGAUUAGCUAGUUGGCGGGGUAAAGGCCCACCAAGGCUACGAUCGGUAGUUGGUCUGAGAGGAUGAUCAGCCACAAUGGGACUGAGACACGGCCCAUACUCCUACGGGAGGCAGCAGUGGGGAAUUUUACACAAUGGGGGAAACCCUGAUGUAGCGACACCGCGUGAACGAAGAAGCCUUUUGGGGUGUAAAGUUCUGUCGGCUGGAACGAAAAAAAUGACGGUACCAGCAAAGGAAGCAUCGGCUAACUACGUGCCAGCAGCCGCGGUAAGACGUAGGAUGCAAGCGUUGUCCGGAUUUAUUGGGCGUAAAGAGUUCGUAGGCGGUUAUUUAAGUCUGAUGUUAAAUACUGUGGCCCAACCACAGAACUGCAUUGGAUACUGGAUGACUUGAGUGCGGUAGAGGCAAGUGGAAUUCCCAGUGUAGCGGUGAAAUGCGUAGA
rnacentral:rRNA from 1 species